AGCCUUUAGCUAAACAAGUAUUAAAGGUCCUGCCUGCCCAGUGAUUCUUUCAACGGCCGCGGUAUUCUAACCGUGCAAAGGUAGCGUAAUCACUUGUCUUUUAAAUAAAGACCUGUAUGAAUGGCUAAAUGAGGAUAAACCUGUCUCUUAUAGCUAAUCAGUGAAACUGAUCUUCCAGUACAAAAGCUGGAAUACAAACAUAAGACGAGAAGACCCUGUGGAGCUUAAAACAAACCGCUAAACGAGCAUAAAACGUUUUAGCAUACGUUUUUAGUUGGGGCGACUUCGGAACAAAACAAAACUCCCGAGAGCAGAGCCAUAAACCUCUAACCAAGGCCAACAAGCCAAAGCACAAAACUGAUCCGGCCAAACCGAUCAACGAACCAAGUUACCCCAGGGAUAACAGCGCAAUCUUCUUCGAGAGCCCUUAUCAACAAGAAGGUUUACGACCUCGAUGUUGGAUCAGGACACCCAAAUGGUGCAGCCGCUAUUAAAGGUUCGUUUGUUCAACGAUUAACAGUCCUACGUGAUCUGAGUUCAGACCGGAGCAAUCCAGGUCGGUUUCU
rnacentral:rRNA from 1 species